AUGGUGGCAGCUCCACCCCACCUCCUGCUUCUCCUAUGUUUCACAGCUUCCAAGGGGCAGAUCACGCUCAUCCAGCAAGCAGAGUCCCUUUGGGUUUCCCCAGGAGAGAGAGUCUCCAUCACCUGCAGGGCCAGUCAGAGCCUCCUCUACACAGAUGGAAAGCACUACCUAUCCUCGUACCAGCAGAGACCAGGGCAGACCAUCAAGGCUCUCAUUUACCACGCUUCAGUCAGGACUGAUGGAGUUCCCACCAGGUUCAUUGGCAGUGGAUCUGCAACAGAAUUCACCCUCACUAUUGAAGACCUUCAGCCUGAGGACUUUGCACUUUAUCACUCUCUUCAAACACUGAAGGGACCUUCCCCAGUAAUUGAGCCUUGA